UGCAAGUCAAACGGGAUGUAGCAAUACAUUCAGUGGCGAACGGGUGAGUAACGCGUGGAUGAUCUACCUAUGAGAUGGGGAUAACUAUUAGAAAUAGUAGCUAAUACCGAAUAAGGUCAAUUAAUUUGUUAAUUGAUGAAAGGAAGCCUUUAAAGCUUCGCUUGUAGAUGAGUCUGCGUCUUAUUAGCUAGUUGGUAGGGUAAAUGCCUACCAAGGCGAUGAUAAGUAACCGGCCUGAGAGGGUGAACGGUCACACUGGAACUGAGAUACGGUCCAGACUCCUACGGGAGGCAGCAGCUAAGAAUCUUCCGCAAUGGGCGAAAGCCUGACGGAGCGACACUGCGUGAAUGAAGAAGGUCGAAAGAUUGUAAAAUUCUUUUAUAAAUGAGGAAUAAGCUUUGCAGGAAAUGGUAAAGUGAUGACGUUAAUUUAUGAAUAAGCCCCGGCUAAUUACGUGCCAGCAGCCGCGGUAAUACGUAAGGGGCGAGCGUUGUUCGGGAUUAUUGGGCGUAAAGGGUGAGUAGGCGGAUAUAUAAGUCUAUGCGUAAAAUACCACAGCUCAACUGUGGAACUAUGUUGGAAACUGUAUGUCUAGAGUCUGAUAGAGGAAGUUAGAAUUCCUGGUGUAAGGGUGGAAUCUGUUGAUAUCAGGAAGAAUACCGGAGGCGAAGGCGAACUUCUGGGUCAAGACUGACGCUGAGUCACGAAAGCGUAGGGAGCAAACAGGAUUAGAUACCCUGGUAGUCUACGCUGUAAACGAUGCACACUUGGUGUUAACUAAAAGUUAGUACCGAAGCUAACGUGUUAAGUGUGCCGC
rnacentral:rRNA from 1 species